rnacentral:rRNA from 1 species
AGAGUUUGAUCCUGGCUCAGGAUGAACGCUGGCGGCAUGCCUAAUACAUGCAAGUCGAACGAACUAGUUUACUAGUUGGUGGCGAACGGGUGAGUAACGCGUGGGGAACCUGCCUUUAAGACGAGGAUAACUAUUGGAAACGAUAGCUAAUACUGGAUAGGAUAUAUUAUCACAUGAUUUUAUAUUUAAAGGUUUAAAACACUUAAAGAGGGUCCCGCGUCGCAUUAGCUAGUUGGUGAGGUAACGGCUCACCAAGGCGACGAUGCGUAGCCGGGCUGGGAGGCUGAACGGCCACAUUGGGACUGAGACACGGCCCAAACUCCUACGGGAGGCAGCAGUAGGGAAUUUUCGGCAAUGGGGGAAACCCUGACCGAGCAAUGCCGCGUGAAUGAUGAAGGUUUUCGGAUUGUAAAGUUCUGU